GUUUACUUCAGGGAUUCACACUGCUGUUGAAAUCAUGCCGUUCACGCCUCAAACAUUUAAGGAGCAGGCAAUGAGUUCAGACCACAAGCGUAUAAUGGGUCUCUGAGAAGCUGCCUCACAAGCAAGCCUCAUGGGAGAGAUUCUGGAGCUGGGGCCUCCCCCAGGGAUCUAGGUGGGCCUGUCACGUUAAUGAGAAUUUCAUGUGCCGAUGGAGAAUCUGCAAGUGCAGGUGUCCAAGAAAACUCCUCUCUUUGGCAUUAACAAUCCUGCGAGGAGCUGAUGGGAUUAUUGAGAUUAAAGUCGGUCAUCCGCCUAAGGUUAUAAGGAAU